AAGCUUAAUAAAAGAAUAAGGCCCACUUGUAGAACAGCAGGUUAUCUAUAUAACUCGAAGUUUACCGGUUAAAUUGAUAAAUUGGCUUGCACAAUCAAUGGUUGGGUGUAAAAUUAAAGUUAAGUCGUUAAAUAUUUAGCCCAGCAAUUUUCGAAGGUUAA